rnacentral:rRNA from 1 species
GACGAACGCUGGCGGCGUGCUUAACACAUGCAAGUCGAACGAAGUGGCGAACGGGUGAGUAACGCGUAAUCAACCUGCCCUUCAGAGGGGGACAACAGUUGGAAACGACUGCUAAUACCGCAUACUGAAGGAGGGGUUUGCGUCUGAUUCGCUCGUUGGAGGGGUCACGGCCCACCAAGGCGAUGAUCAGUAGCCGGUCUGGGAGGGUGAACAGCCACAAUGGGACUGAGACACGGGCCAGACUCCUACGGGAGGGAACAGUGGGGAAUCUUCCGAAAAGGAGGAAAGUCUGACGGAGCAACGCCGCCUGGGUGAUGACGGCCUUCGGGUUUGAAAGCUCUGUUAAUCGGGACGCGGUACCGGAAUAGAAAGCCACGGCUAACUACGUGCCAGCAGCCGCGGUAAUAC